AUUUCUGUAAAUAUGCGAAAGUACAUCCUACACAUCGUGUAUCCACGUUGCAUGUAUAGGCCUAUAGCUGGGUGUAACUAAAAGGAAAGGUGCGAGAGACGACGUAACUACCAUAGUUGUACAUACAUAAACUUGGUAAGGUUCUCAGUGUUUACAUUAUCUUUACCAUCUCUAAUUAAAAUACAUCAAAUAUAAAUGCCUACGAAAUAAAUACAAAACAAUAUGAAGAACUAUGCUACAGGUUUCAAAAAGAAUGGGGGGGAAAAAACUACAGCCUAUAUAAAAACACCUAGAUGUCUAUAAAGUUUAAAAAUAUUGGCUACUAUAAAGAACACUAAAAUUCAUUAAUUUGAUUAAUGUUAUGCAAAAUACCCCAUCGAUUACAACAUUGAUAUUAUACUAUAAAGCGUUUUAUUCUAUUUUGCUCACUUUAUGCAAGUAUGUGUCUACUGGAAGGAUCUGGAACUUAUCUGCUGGACCUUAUUUGCCCUGAACAAACCAUAUUAGGCAACAUGAGUAAGAGGCCAUAAAUGUGGUCUUUGAGACAUUUGGCUCCCUCUGGUGGAAUUACACAUUUAUAAUAACCAAUGCACUCAUAUUUAUGUUUAUGAAAAAAGACCAAGUAAAUCAUAUGACAGUGUUUACAUUUACUCACAUUUGAGGCCAACUAUACUAACAAAGAAUAUCUGGACGGGGAUGUCUUUGAUGAUAUACAGGACAACAAUAAAAACAUCUUUGCCCCCCUCUGGUGGGGCUGAUGGAUGAAACUAAUCAUAUAGCAUACCCUUGCCACAUCAAAGUGAUAAAAAAACGGAUUCUCAUCAUUUACUUAGGUCAAAGUACGUUAUUCCCUCUAGUGGAGCAAAAGUUUAACAUGACAAAAAAUAAAAGUACUCAGGUAAGUACCUCAAAACUGUAAUUAAGUACUGCAUAUGAGUAAAUGUACUUGGUUACAUUCAACCCCUGGUGAUUCAUAACAUUUGACAUUAAAAUUUGAGUGGACCACCACCAUAAAAAGGGCUUUAGUGGUGUUGAUUUUAUGAAUAAAUUAGUAAAAGAAAUCUAUCACAACACUUUUGGUUUUAUAUUGUAUAUCACAGAGUCUAGCCCUUGGUAGCGCUACAUAAACUUGUUAACCCCAUACAUGAUUGCCUUAUUGUAUUCUUGCUAUAGGUCAGAACCUGGUUUUUGCCAACCACAGCAAUAAGUAUAUCAGAUGUAAAUGGCCUUAAAAUGGACAGGCAGUGGUUAAUCUUAACUUGUGUUUCUCAAUGUGCAUUUAAAUGUGAAACCAUAAACCAUGAGCCAGUUGUAGCUUUUAUCUUUUAUUGUUAUUUGCAGGUGACAGAGAGAUAUAAUCUAAACUGGAAACUGCUUUAACACAGAAAUGUAAAUAUAGACCUCUUUCCAAAACAACCGCCCAUUUUACACUGACAUUUGCGUAACAACACAUUUGUCUAAUGAAUAACAUCUAUCAGGAGUAAGAAAAGGUGCUCCUUGAAAUGCAGUGAAACCUGUACUGCUGGAUCUUCAUGGGUGUUUCUUCCCUUGUGACUUAGGCACUAUGAUCUGAUGUGUCAGAGCAGGAGGAACUUAUUUUACUCCCAGAAAGGUAUAAAUCAGCACACAUGCAGGAUAAUACCAAGAGAAAUAAACAUGUUGCAGUUGCUGGGAGACUGUGACAUGGGCUAUUGACUGGUGUUUUCUUUUAACAUGCUCAGAUCGUUGUUGGCCUUCUCUUCGUCAUCAUGUGCUUUUCAAAAGGACUCAAAGAGGGAAAUAAACCUCAAAAAAUACAAAUACCUGAAUCAUCUGCCAACAACAAGAUGAAGGAUCUGAGUGAAGAAGAUGUCCAUAUAUUGGCCAAGAUCCUUUCAGUUGGAUUGGUGGAUGCAGACCCAAACUAUCUCCACCAUCUUAAAGGCUACAGAGACUUGCAUGUUAGCUAAUUUCCCAGCCUACUUACAUUAAUUAAUGAGCAAACACAUCUGUUCCCGGUUAUAUGGAUAGAUUUGGGAUGACAUAAAGGCUCUUCAGCAUUGUGAUUGGAUUACCACAAGUCAAGUGCUUCACCCCCCCCCCCCCAGAUGUUCCAUGAUUAAUGGAAAAUAUGCACUUUAUUCUGGUAAUGAAGAAGGAAUAACCUGUCACUGGUGCUUAAUAUGGAUCAUUUUGAUGAUGGAUCCUGAUUGCUUAAUUUAUUGCCUAACUGUAUAAUUUGAAAUAUGUGAAUAUGUGCAGAAAAGAGCCUCUGAUUUUACUUUCAACACCUGCUUCUUUUUUAAUCAGGAAAUGCAGAAAUUGAAAAUGCAGAAAUAGGAGCACUCCCUGUAUUGUUGUUAGUGGUACUUGCUUUAUUUGGCUUGUUUUAUUCAAGUGAUUUUCAAUGUUACAUACCACUUUGUUAAACUGUAAACCUAAACUAUUUAAUUUACAUCUGAUGCAGCCUAUGUUUUAAAUCAGGAAAUGCUUAAAAUGAAAAUAUAGAGAUAGGAGCAUUGCUUAUAUUGUUGUCAGUGGUUUGCUUUAUUAGGCUUGUUUUAUUCAAGUUGUUUUUAAUGUUACAAACCACUUUGUUAAACUGUAAAUCUCUAUCAUUAUAUUAUCUCUAUCAUUACAAUCAUUAUCUGAGGUAUGUUACACAAUUCAGCUGUUGCAGGCAGUUUUAGUACAGAUAGCAAUAAAUCCCUUUAAAGUUAGAGAAGGUCAUUUUUCCUUAACUUAGCUUAGCUUCCUUCGCUAAAUAGGCCACAAUUGAUUAUGAAAUAAUACCAGCUAGAUUUGAGCUAAAUGCAAACUAGUAGUUUACUGUUUGCUAAACAAUAGUUUAGCAUUUACCUAAAAUGCUGAACUAAUGUAACAGUAGCACAAUAAGAAUCAGAAAAGUGACUCAGUAGUGUGCAGUAUACAAUAGUAUUUACCUGAGGUUUGCUAACUUUAGCUAACAUUAUUAAGCUGCUGUCAUGGUCAUACCGGACCAACAAAGGCUGUAGCAGGCAUAACCCCUGAGCAAUGGUGCAUUUUAUUGAUAUUGAUACAUAUUUUCAUUUGUAACAGAAAGAAUGUGUUAGUUCUUUCAAAAGUUACGGUUUCGCUUCAAGGGAUUAUUAAUUUACCAUUUGUAUUUGGAAGAGAGGCUGAAUUACUUUGCUUCUGCUCUCUUUUGGUUCAUGUCCUUACCUACAGUAGACAGACAAAGAUAGAGAGAUUAGAGAAAAAUGAACAUGUCAUCCAUUGUUUGUCUCCAGUGGCAAACUUAAUGUCUCUUACUCCAGAAAUGGCUGUUGAGCUUGUCCCCUAGCGCGUAGAGCAAGGCCACCACUGACAUGUUAAAAAAGAAGAAGACCACCAGACCAACAGUGCUGAAGUGCCCUAGUAGGGGAUACACCCAAAUUCCAACUGACAAGUACACCCAUAUAAUCCUGCAGAACAUGUUUAAAGAGAGAGACAGGGGAAGAAAAGAAACUGUCAGUACCACUGUAUCUGUCAGAUCAUCAAGUACUGUCUUGUUUCACAGAACUAGGCUAUGUCUUGUGCAAAUAUUCACUGGCACAGUUCCAGCCAUUAACACCAAAGACACGGUUUGAUUGUAAGAUUAACAGCAUAAUAAAAAAAAUGUCAUCCACAA